rnacentral:rRNA from 1 species
GACAGAGGGUGCAAACGUUGUUCGGAAUUACUGGGCGUAAAGCGCGUGUAGGUGGCAAGGCAAGUCGGGUGUGAAAGUCACAGGCUCAACCUGUGAAUGCCGCUGGAAACUGUCUGGCUUGAGUCCGGAAGGGGCGAGUGGAAUUCCUGGUGUAGCGGUGAAAUGCGCAGAUAUCAGGAGGAACACCAAUGGCGAAGGCAGCUCGCUGGAACGGUACUGACGCUGAGGUACGAAAGCGUGGGGAGCGAACAGG